UACGAAGGGGACUAGCGUUGUUCGGAAUCACUGGGCGGAAAGCGCACGUAGGCGGAUUUGUAAGUCAGGGGUGAAAUCCCGGGGCUCAACCUCGGAACUGCCUUUGAUACUGCAAGUCUUGAGUCCGAUAGAGGUGGGUGGAAUUCCUAGUGUAGAGGUGAAAUUCGUAGAUAUUAGGAAGAACACCGGUGGCGAAGGCGGCCCACUGGAUCGGUACUGACGCUGAGGUGCGAAAGCGUGGGGAGCAAACAGG
rnacentral:rRNA from 1 species